rnacentral:lncRNA from 10 species
GUGAAAAAUGACAUUGGUAUUUUGAUAGGGAUUGCAUUGGUCAUUUUAUGGUCAUUUUAGCAGUAUUAGUCCUUUCUAUCCAUGAGCAUGAGAUAUCUUUCCAUUUGUGUGUGGCCUCUUCAAUUUCUUUCAUCAUUGUUUUGUAGUUUUCCUUGUAGAGGUCUUUCACCUCCUUGGUUCAAUUCAUUUUCAGGUAUUUUUGGUACCUAUUUUAAAUAAGAUUGCCUUCUUGAUUUCUUUCUUAGCUAGUCCAUUAUUAGUUUAUAGAAAUGCUACUAAUUUUUGUGUGAUUUUGUGUAUCCUAUGGCUUUAGUGAAUUUAUCAGAUCUAAGUUUUUGGUGGAGUCUUUAGGUUUCUCUAGGUAUAAGAUCAUAUUGUCUGUAAAGAGGGAUAACUUGACUUUCUCUUUUCCAGUUUGGAUGCCCUUUCUUUCUGUUGCUCGAUUGCUCUGGCUAGGACUAGUAUUAUGUAAGUGUUCCAUUCAUUAAUUUGCUGAACUGUAGUGGGAAGACAACCCUUCCCCAAACUCCGUUCACUCCAUACCUAAACGGACCAAGCACAUGCUUAGGGCACUAAUGAAACAGGAACACCAAGAUAAUGAGUAAACUUCAGCUUUUGGUGAACUUGGAAUUUUAUAAUCAGAGAUAAUCUAGAAAUAAGCCUUUCUAACUUCAGCAUACAUUAAUAUUUUGGCUUCCCCAGGCCCACUUGCAUCAUGUACUUCUUUCUCAGAUAAACACUCGAGGGACCUGAUGAGACUGAAAACAUCAAACACAGCCUCUGGGACAAGGAAAGUCUUUAAGAACUUUAGGGGUAUAUUAUUCUCAUACUCAAACACAUCUGCAGACCACCAAAGAUACUUCUCCUCGCAUCACUGUGAUCCUCUGGGCACAUCAGUCACAAAGAACCAGGCUUUAAGUCUUCUGAAAAUUAAUAGAAGCAAGAAGGUGACAAAACUCUAUGGACACUCUUGGGCUUAAAUCUUGCCAGUCAAGUGUUUGAUCACAGACAAGAACUGACCCUCUCUGUGCUCACCAAAUGUCAUGCAGAGACUCUAUGACCUACUACCUCCUUGUGUUCUUCCUGCCUCUCUAGCUGUUCAGUUCAGACUUCUUAGGAGGUUCUCAGAGAUACCUCAAACUGCACAAGUCCAGGGGGAGAAUCUAGAACCUUUUCUAUACUGUAGAGGCUUUCUUGAAUGCCUCUUUGUCCCCACUGUAGCUCUUUUUGUUUAAACUUGUCAGUUGAUCUCUUAUGGCAGCCUUGCCCACCUUUGAUUUAUCCCUUAUACCAAGGUUUCUCAAUUUCCACAGUCUUGACAUUUGGUACUAGAUAAUCCUUUGUUGUGGGGGCUGUUAUGUGCAUUGUGAGAUGCUGAGCAGUGUCCCUGGCCUCUACCAGGAGAUGCCAGUAGCAUCCCGAGUUGUGACAAUCAAAAAUGUCUCUAGACAUUGCCAAAUGUCCCUCGGGGCAAAACUGUCACCUAGCUGAGAACCACUUCUCAAUCUGACCCUGAAUUAUCUUUGAGAAACCAAUAUUUACUGCAGUAUACCCUUAAAUAGUUGAGGGCUCCCAUUGUCUAUGAAUAAACUCCCUGGCAUGACAUAUUUUGCCUUUAUUAUAUCAUCCAACACCCCCCACCAGCACAGGCAGUUAGGUACCUUAUCUGCUGCUGACAGUCUCGUCCAGGGUUUGUCUGCCCUCCUGUCAUAGUCCUGCGCUUUUGCUACUUCCACGUAAUCACUGAAUCGUAUCAGAAUUUUUCUGUCUCUUAAUUCAUCAACAGUGGGUCUCUGAUUAAGCUAAAAUUAAAGAUCAUCAUAGUUAAGUAUCACAUGCCAAACUAGCUUUUUUGAAGUACUCUGAACAAACAGCACUUCUCUUAAAAAACAAAACAAAACAAAAAAAACCUGAAACUGGAAAAUAUAACCCAAAUACAAGCAAUCUCUAAUGUGAAGGGCUGAAAUUAUAUACUGUACUCUUAAAUCACAAUCCCCCUUCCUCCAACAUAUUUUAUCAGAAGGAGUCACACCCCCAGUAGUACAUAGCACCAGCUCAAGGAAUGGUUAGUGAAUUAACUUAGAUUUUAUGGCAUCACUGGCUUCAGAUACAAUUAGAUAAGCUUUUUAAAAGUACUAAUAAAGUUAUUAUAUGUCCAGCUUAGGAAGGAUAUUCUGUUAAUUUCAAGAGAAUUAUUAUGGAGCAGCACAACGAAGAAGGGGAAUCCAGAACACUUGAAUUUAGAAAUGGUCAAGGCUUUAAAAGUAGAUUAAGAUUUAUAGAGUUGCUACCUGUAUUGGCCAUAGUAAAUGUUAACUGUUUGAGUCACAGAGAACAAACCUUUGAGUCUAAUAAAGCUUUCUGCAACUGAGGAACUUCUAGACAUAUUGGAGGUGAACAAAAGCGAUGAGUGUAAAAUGUGACUAAAACACUGAUACCCAGGUAUGCUUUUCCUAGACACUGUAAAUUAAGAAAAUGCCAAUCAACUUCUGGCUUCCACCUGAACAUAAGUAAAAAAUGUCAUGUGCAUUGUGCACCUCUCCAAGUGCUACCGUGCUAGGGAAGGACUUCGUCCAUAGGGAACGUCAGAGGGAGUUAAUUCAUUGUUGCUGAGCAAAGACUUUUUAACCAACAUAAAACAUGGAACACCUUCUUCAGCUCCUGGGCAGCAUAUGCUUGCCUGGAAUUUAUAUGUUCAGACUAUAUUUCAAAUCUUAACACAUCUAUGAACCUCGCUGACUCUCCAUUGCUGAAGCGUGAACACUGUUAUAUGACAGUGCCUUUUAAAGGAGCCCAAGUCCCUCAGCAAAAUUAGCUUUGCUUGACCCAGAACACCCUCUGCAUUAUACAAAGCAAGGGACCCAUAAUCAGGACUGCUAUACUCAUAUUUUCUGGAAAUAGCUCCAGCAGCUUGGACAGUUAUACCUGAGACUUCCAUGAAUAUCCAGAAAUGUAUUACUGCUUCUGAUGCAGUAGUUAAGAAGAUGGGCAAUGGAGUUAGGCAGACCUGGGGUUGAACUCUAGUGCUAUCCUUUUCCCAAUAUUCAUUUAUUAAAAAGUGCAAACCUCACAAAUAUGUUGCAAUGAUUAAAUGAGGGAAUAUAUACCAAGUACUGAAUAUAGUCCCUGGCACAGAUUGGGCCUAAUAAAGAAUUACCAUCACCAUAUAAAGGGACCCCUGCUCUUCUGCUUUUCUAUCCACGUUAUAGUGUUAUAUGGGCGGAGUUUUGAGUGCUCCUCAGAUAUGACUGCAGUUAGUCAUGAGUUCCCCCUUGAAGCAAAUACAAAAGUGAUAUUCUAAGAAUUGGUUACAAGAAGAAAAUACAAUACAGUAUGAGUGCUUGAAGUCCUGUGUAUCUAGAGCCUAUGAGUAUGAUGUUUCAUACUAGGCUAUAUAUAGUUACCCUAUUCUCAUCUCCACAGAACAAAAGUAAAACCAAACACCCACCACAAACCUAGCAGUAAAAUUCUCAGGUCCUUCCACUCAGGACACUAGAGAGGGCUUCCGAGCUAAGGACAAACCUACAUUCACUGAUGAAGGCACAGUGUUUAUGGCGGGAUUGCCAUGGCCACCGCAGAGGAAACCCAUUUUCCCUUUCAUGCACUGAAGGUAAGGGCAGUCAGUUUCAGUUAUGCAUUUGCUAGCUCCCUAUUCACCAAAGAUAGUUCUAUUUCUAAGGCUCUGAUAUUUAUUUCCAAAGAUUAACACAAUUAGAAGUACUUGCUGAUGGGAAGACCUGGUUGCCCACGAUAGGAAGGAAGAGGCUGCUACUGAAAGAAGACAUGGUUCCUGGGUUAAAGGUCUGGGCUGUAGUACUCUCUUCCUGUUGCUGACAGCAGGCUACUUGGAAUGUGGUGCUUCCUGUGUCUUGAACUUGCCUGGUUCAAGUCUGGACUGCUACUUUUAGUAGCAUCUGCAACUUACAAGCUUUAUAAAUAAGUGACUUAAUUUUUAAAAAUUCAAAUAUUUGGCAACUGAAACAGCUUGACUUUUCUGUCUGCCUACUUAAUUAAGCAUGUUAUCAAUGAAGAGCUUUUCUUUAAAUCCUCAGAGAUGGUAUAGUUAACAUAGAACAGUAGUCACUAUAUCUUAAGUUUAAAAAGUAAAAUGAAGAAGUCUUUAUCUGAGGGUUAUUUUCAACAAUCUAUAAAGGAGGGGAUUGUUUUAGGCAGUUAAUGAAGGCACUGAGGCAAAGAAAGGAGGGAGGAAUCAAUUCAAGUUCAGUACCCAGACCAACAAGGGGCUCUGCGGUAUUUUCUGACAGAAAGUCAGCUUGGUACCAUUAUAACUUCAUAAAAAGAUGUUCACAAAUAAGAAAACAAACUCAGAGAAAGUCUGCAGUAUUCAUCACAUAAAGAGAAAAAAAGUCCUUUAAAAAUCCAAGCCAUUAGAAGACACUUUCUGUGGAAAAUGUUUUAAAAACUGAAAAUGACUAGAUAAAGAACUAUUGGAGAAACACUUUUUCAAGAGGUUUGGCCACCCCUAAAUCACUGACUUUAUGGAAUAUUUAAUGGAAUAUAGUGCCCUAGAGCAUGGAGGUUACUCAUGAACACCUAUGCUCAGCAUAUGCUAUAAUUGUCCACCUAACGGGAAAUGCAAGGGGUUGCAAGGCUGGGAGCAACAGAGGGUCCUGGAACCUCAAAGUCCUGAGCCACAGGAAAGCUUCUCAUGGCUUCACCGUUUCCCUGAGCUGACUGCUUUAUUCCUCCCAAGUGUAACAGGCAAGGGGCGUGUCCUUCUCUAGUGUGUUCAUGCGGUUCAUGCUUUGUGAUUUCUAUAGCCAUGAAGAACCCCGACCCAAACUGCCAGGAAGACCUGCUUGAAACCUAACGCACUUAGACAUAUGGGACUAACCCUGAAAAUAAAAACAUCUUUAUGCUAAGAGGAAAGGAGUUUUUUUAAAUUAAAAAAAAUGUUUCUAGGUAUAUCAGCUUUCCUUUGGGGCUUGCUUUCAGAAUUCAGCAGCAGCUCAGGUUUACUGGGAGCAUGGAGCAUUCCGCUUGCAGAGAAGGGCUGGGUUAUGGGAACUCAGGAUUUGUGCAACAGCCUCACCACACGUGAAGGAAAACCUCUAGAGGAAUCACCAGCUACUCACGUUUCAAGAUAUUUCUUCUCUCCAGCUCUUCCACGGCAGGUCUUUGGCUCAGCCGUCUGCGGAAAAACACUAAAAUUACAUUUUGCACCAUAGUGG